UGCGCAGGCGGAUUGUUAAGCAAGACGUGAAAUCCCCGGGCUUAACCUGGGAAUGGCGUUUUGAACUGGCAGUCUAGAGUGCGUCAGAGGGGGGUGGAAUUCCACGUGUAGCAGUGAAAUGCGUAGAGAUGUGGAGGAACACCGAUGGCGAAGGCAGCCCCCUGGGAUGACACUGACGCUCAUGUACGAAAGCGUGGGUAGCAAACA
rnacentral:rRNA from 1 species